rnacentral:rRNA from 1 species
UACAGAGGUCUCAAGCGUUGUUCGGAUUCAUUGGGCGUAAAGGGUGCGUAGGCGGCGCGGUAAGUCGGAUGUGAAAUCUCGGAGCUUAACUCCGAAACUGCAUUCGAUACUGCCGUGCUUGAGGACUGGAGAGGAGACUGGUAAUUUACGGUGUAGCGGUGAAAUGCGUAGAUAUCGUAAGGAAGACCAGUGGCGAAGGCGGGUCUCUGGACAGUUCCUGACGCUGAGGCACGAAGGCCAGGGGGAGCAAACGGG